AGCUCCAAUAGCGUAUAUUAAAGUUGUUGCAGUUAAAAAGCUCGUAGUCGGAUUUCGGGGCGGGCGCAGCGGUCUGCCGAUGGGUAUGCACUGUUGGGCGCGUCCUUCUUUCCGGAGACCGCGCCUACUCUUAGCUGAGCGGGCGCGGGAGACGGAUCGUUUACUUUGAAAAAAUCAGAGUGUUUCAAGCAGGCAGCUCGCUCUUGCAUGGAUUAGCAUGGGAUAAUGAAAUAGGACUCUGGUG
rnacentral:rRNA from 1 species